AACGAACGCUGGCGGCAUGCCUAACACAUGCAAGUCGAACGAGAUCUUCGGGUCUAGUGGCGCACGGGUGCGUAACGCGUGGGAAUCUGCCCUUUGGUUCGGAAUAACAGCUGGGAACGACUGCUAAUACCUGACGAUGACAAAAGUCCAAAGAUUUAUCGCCAGAGGAUGAGCCCGCGUAGGAUUAGCUAGUUGGUGUGGUAAAGGCGCACCAAGGCGAUGAUCCUUAGCUGGGCUGUGAGGAUGACCAGCCACACUGGGACUAGGACACGGCCCACACUCCUACGGGAGGCAGCAGUGGGGAAUAUUGGACAAUAGGCGAAAGCCUGAUCCAGCAAUGCCGCGUGAGUGAUGAAGGCCUUAGGGUUGUAAAGCUCUUUUACCCGGGAUGAUAAUGACAGUACCGGGAGAAUAAGCUCCGGCUAACUCCGUUCCAGCCGCCGCAGUAA
rnacentral:rRNA from 1 species